CCUACGGGCGACUGCAGUGAGGAAUAUUGGUCAAUGGACGAGAGUCUGAACCAGCCAAGUAGCGUGAAGGAUGACUGCCCUAUGGGUUGUAAACUUCUUUUAUAUGGGAAUAAAAUGUUCCACGUGUGGGAUUUUGUAUGUACCAUAUGAAUAAGGAUCGGCUAACUCCGUGCCAGCAGCCGCGGUAAUACGGAGGAUCCGAGCGUUAUCCGGAUUUAGUGGGUUUAAAGGGAGCGUAGGUGGAUUGUUAAGUCAGUUGUGAAAGUUUGCGGCUCAACCGUAAAAUUGCAGUUGAAACUGGCAGGCUUGAGUACAGUAGAGGUAGGCGGAAUUCGUGGUGUAGCGGUGAAAUGCUUAGAUAUCACGAAGAACUCCGAUUGCGAAGGCAGCUUACUAAACUGCCACUGACAUUGAUGCUCGAAAGUGUGGGUAUCAAACAGGAUUAGAUACCCGAGUAGUC
rnacentral:rRNA from 1 species